AAAAAAAAAAAAAAACCCUUGUUAGGUCAGUGAACCCUCAUCAACACAGCAACCUGUGUUGUGAGUUACUUCAGAUCAAAGGGAACUUCCUUCCAGGUUUAAGCUGUCUGCUUGAAUCAUAUUCAAGAAUCGGACUUACUUCUUCUUCCCUCUAAUAUAAUAUCUUCCUUUCAUCAUCUCAGAAUUUUGUUUUUUUUGCACGGAAGAGAGUGCAACAUGGCUGGACCGUGGGUGGAAGGGGCAAUUCAAGCGCUGUUGGAGAGAUUGGCAUCUGCAGAACUCAUCGACUUGUUCCAAAGGCUAACGGUCAAAGAUGAAUUGGUGGAGAAGUUGAAGACAGCAUUGCUGUCUCUUGAUGCUGUGCUCAAUGAUGCUCAGGAAAAGCAAAGGAACAACCCAACUGUGGAAAAAUGGCUUUACGAUGUUACAAAUACUUUGUAUGUUGUUGAUGAUGCAUUGGAUCAGAUUUCCACUGAAGCUUUGCUAAAGAAGUUGACGAAAAAUCGGGUUGGGAACCUCAGAUGGGAGAUAGAGUCUAGCAUGGAGCAGGUCAAUGAGAUGAUCGAUUCUUAUGCCAAGCAAAGUAAUGAACUGGGCUUGAUCGGUGGAAGUGGAACACAGUACGACAAGAAACAGUUUCGAACAGCCUCAUCUGUUGACGAAGCUGAAGUGGUGUUUGGUAGAGAAUCUGACAAAGAAGCAAUUAUUGAUCUCUUCAUGGGUGCUAGUGGUGAACCAUUGUCUUUGAUUGUGAUAGUGGCAAAGGAUGGCAUAGGCAAAACCACUCUCGCUCGGCUCGUUUACGAAGAAGACAGAGUGAGUAAACAUUUUGACCUUAAGGCUUGGGCUUGGGUUCCGGCAGAAGGUACCGUGGGCAAGGCGUGCAGCUCAAUUUUUGAGUCUUUUACUUUGGAGUGUUCUGAUCUGGAGAAGCAGAGAUUUCUAAUUGUUUUGGAUGAUGUAUCCAGUAAGAGUUUGGAUCUCUACUUGGAAUUUCCAUUCCGAGCUGCUGCAAAGGGAAGUUGUAUUAUUGUAACUACAUCCGAUCAAGCUGUUGAGUCAAUCAUGCGCACUUACACUUAUUUUUAUCGCCCUCCUGGUACUGACACUUCCAUUGGGAAGGAGUUAUUACCACCUGGACAAUCUCCCCGUUUUAACACCUAUGAUAUGAACCGAUUAUCAGAUGAAGAAUGUUGGUCAAUAUUCACAAAAUAUGCUUUUGGAGACGAAAAUUCUAGUUCAUAUCCAGAACUAGAGGAUAUUGGCAGACAAAUUGUGAAAGUGUGUGGCGGCCUGCCUUUAGCAGUAAGAACGAUUGGGACUUUCUUGCGCUCUAAGCUACAAGUUGAGGAGUGGGUUGCUGUACUUGAUCGCCAAAAGCAUUUUCAUUUUACAAAUGAAAUGAGUGGCAUUGGCCUUGCGUUAGGACUAAGCUAUGAUAAUCUUCCUGUGCAUCUAAAGCGAUGCUUUGCAUAUUGUUCAAUAUUUCCUCCGGGUUAUGAAUUUGAGAAAGAGAAGUUAGUCCUCUUGUGGAUGGCGGAAGGUCUUUUGCCACAGCCAGAAAAAAAUAAAAGAAUCGAAGAGGUUGGUGAUGACUGCUUUAAAGAAUUAUUAUGUAGGUCUUUUUUUCAACAAUCAAGCGGCAAUAAGUCACAUUUUGUGAUGCACAGUCUUACGGAUGACUUGGCUAGAGCUGUGUCUGGGAGAUGUUGCUUCAGAUUGGAGGAUGGUAAUUCCUUUGGUACUCCAACUAUUUCCGUCCGGUAUUUGUCAAUUUCCCGAAGUGAUUCCUUAGAGUUGGAGAUAUUUGAGUACAUUCGUAAACUCAAGCGUUUAAGGACCUUUUUAACACUAGAUCAUAUAUCGUGGGAUUUACAUGGCUAUGAACUAGGGAGUAAUAUCUUUUCCAGAAUGUCGUUCUUGCGAGUGCUUUCUGUAUCUCAUUAUGAAUUGACCAAGCUACCAGCUUCAAUCAGUGAUUUGAAACACUUGCGGUACAUAGAUCUCUCUGACACAGAAAUUAAAAGUUUACCUGAAUCAGUAUGUUUUCUCCCCAAUUUACAAACAUUGAUAUUAUCAAAUUGUGAUUCCCUUGCUGAAUUGCCACAAAACAUGGGGAGGCUUAUUAACCUGCGUCAUCUUCAUAUUAGUGGAACAAACUUAAAAGAGAUGCCAAAAAAUAUGAGCAGAUUAGAAAGUCUACAAACACUGUCUAACUUUGUUGUGGGCAAAGAAAGCGGCUCAACAGUUACAGAGUUGCGGGAAUUUUUGAAUCUUCAUGGAGCACUUUGUAUUUCAAAGUUGCAAAAUGUAGCCUCUGCUAAAGAUGCGGCUGAGGCCAACUUGGUAGAGAAGCCACACCUUGAUGAACUAGUGUUGGAAUGGGGUGACCAUACUGUUGAUCUAGAAAAUGAUGGAGAUGUGCUUGACGAUACCGGUACUGACGAUACUGUUGGUCUAGAAAAUGAUGGAGAUGUGCUUGAACAGCUAGUUCCUCACACAAAUUUAAAGAAACUCAGCAUUAGUUUUUACUCCGGUACAAGAUUUCCACAUUGGUUGGGGGAUUCUUCAUUCUCUAACCUAUUUUUCCUAUGUCUUAGUAGUUGCAAGAAUUGCAUAGACUUGCCACUACUUGGGCAGCUACCAUCUCUUAAAGUCCUCAUUAUUAAAUCAAUGAAUGCAGUAAAGAAGGUCGGUCCUGAAUUCUAUGGGAUGGAUAAGCCAUUUCAGUCUUUGGAAACUCUAACAUUUGAUAGGAUGCUGGAAUGGGAGGAAUGGAUUGCAUUGGAAGUUGAAGGUGGAGAAUUCCCUUGCCUGCGAGAGCUUUGUAUACGGAGAUGCCCCAAGCUGAAGGGGAACUUACCCAAGCAACUUCCUUCUGUAGUAAAAGUUGAGAUUUCUGAAUCUCAGGAGCUUCUGACUGCACUUAUGACUGAGGCAUCAUUACACAAAAGGCUUUUAGAUUAUCAUGAUAAGAUUUUGUUCAUGACAGGCUAUAAAGCUACCUCAUUCUCGAAGCAAAUGACUGUCACUACAUAUGAAGGUGCUGCAGAAUCUUCAAUUCCUAUGACUGAAGGUGCUAUAGAAUCGUCAUUGUUUAUAAUUGCCACAGAUUCCUCAUUGCCCAUGACUCAAGGUGCCACAGCUGAAGAAUGCUCAUUGCCUAUAACUCAAGAUACUGCAGCCACAGAAUCCUCAGUGCCAAUGACUCAAGGUGCCACUGCUGCAGAAUCCUCGUUGCCCAUGACUCAAGGUACUGUGACAGUAGAGCACUCAUCGGCCAUGACUCAAGCUGCCACAGAAUCCUCACUACCUAUGACUCAAGGAGCCGCAGAAUCCUCAUUGCCCACGACUCAGACUCCAAACAUUAGAAAUGAAGCUGAUGUUCCAAUUAACACCCAGUCCAACCAAGAUAGCCUGCAAGACCUCUUCUCCUUUAAAAGCUUGAAAGUUUCAGAAAUAUCACAACUGAGAAAAUUGCCAAUGGGGCUACAUAGCCUCAAAAUUGAAGGAUGUGACGCUCUAGAGUUCAUACCUGAACAAGUGAUGGUGAGCAAUCCUCCUAUCCAACAUUUGUAUAUCAUUAGUUGUUGUUCUCUCAAGUCCUUUUCUGGAGGUAGCCCACCCACUGCAUUGAAAUUUCUUUAUAUCCAGAACUGCAAGAAAUUAAAGUUUCUCCCACUAGCAGAGAAGACACAUCAUUAUGCACUUCUUGAACAUUUGUGCAUUGGGAGUAGCUGUGAUUCCCUGGUAUUCCUCCCAUUAGACUUGUUUCCAAAGCUUAAAAUACUUUCUAUCUGGGAUUGUGCAAAUCUGGAAUCCUUUUCAAUGCCAGGGAGAAUUCAGAAAGAUCUCACAUCUCUUGAGGUCUUGGAGAUCAGGGAUUGUCCUAACCUUCUAUCUUUUCCAAGAGGAGGAUUGCUUACCCCCAACCUGAAGUCCAUUUGGUUCUCCAAUUGCAAGAAUCUCAAGGAACUGCCUGAUCAAUUGCACACUCUCAGUUCUCUCCGGUCAAUGUUUAUAAAUAACUGCCCAGAACUUUUAUCACUUCCUGAAGGGGGUUUGCCUUCCAACCUAAGUUUACUUUGUAUCACUUUUUGUGACAAAAUGAUGCUCGGGAUGGAGUGGGGCUUGCAUAGGCUUGACUAUCUUAGUCGGUUGGAGAUAGAAGGUGCAUGUAAAAACGUGGUGUCAUUUCCAGAGGCAAAGCUACUGCCCAGAAAUCUCAAUUCUCUACGCAUCAGUGGACUUUUGAAUCUCAAGUAUCUCAACUACAGGGGGCUUCAACACCUUACUGCUCUUAAAAUACUGGAGAUCAGCUGCUGUAACAAACUCCAAUCCUUGCCAGAAGAAGGUCUUCCGGCCUCCCUGUCUUUUCUCUGCAUCAAGGAGUGUUCUUUGCUGAAACUGAAACUCCAAGAUAAGACAGGAAAAGAUUGGUCCAAGAUAGCUCAUAUUUCUUGCAUAGAAAUUGAUGAGGAAGUGUGUCAUGAGGAAGUAUAGAAGAGCCUUGUUUGAAGCAAUGUAAUUUCAGUGUGAUUGGAGUCUCAAGUAUUCCAUGAUUUUUUCCCCCAAAAAAGAUUGAAAUCCCCCAAGUUUCAGGUACUUGUUUUUUUUAUUCCUCUGGUUGAUCGGCGUGGAAGUUCAAAAAGGUCAAAGGAAUAGGCUUUUCAGCUUUUGGCAAUGUUGAUUUUUCUUCAAUUGGGAUUUGCCAAAUUGAUGCUAAUGGAUGAAUUUGGCAAAAAAGAUAAAACUUAUGUACUGUACUUUAAGUGCUAUUCUUUAAAUUUUCAUUUUAAGAUUCUAUCAUAUGACUACUUAACUAAAAAAUAUACUUUCAUUCUAUGAGGAAAUAACCACAUGGCAGAAUCUUUAAAGAAACAACACUUAAAUACUAUACCUAAGUAAGUACUACCCGUGGCAAAAUUAUCGUUAUUUUGGGUUGCAAUUAGGCACUAUCACCACUACUAGGCACAACACCAACAACAUAGGUCAUUAGACUAGCUCAUGUUGCUUUCUUUUUAGUACAAUCUGUUUUUGACUUAUCAAUCUUAGUUGAUUUGCUUUGAUUGCAUUGGCAUUAUUGUGAUAC